GGAAGGCUUGGAUGGGUUUUGAGCAAAGACUCAAAGCAGAAUUGUGAAAAGAGUCACUGUGGCUGCUUCCUAGAGGAAUCACCUGUAAAUGGUCAGUGGAAUAAGGAAGACCAGUUAAGGGGCUAAUAGGGUAAUAACUCGGUUGGUUGGAUCAGGUUAGAAUCUGUAAAGGUGGUGAAAAAUAUGGAGUAUAAAUCAUAAACACUUCUUCUCAAAUUCACUUCAAAAAAAUAAGCUAAUGAACUGAAUUUCUCAACCAAAAGUUUUGCUUCCAUGAGUUUUCUUAACCUUUUGAUGCCUGCUACAUUUGCCUUUAUUAAAAUCUAGAAUAAAAGUGUUGUUUUUGAAAACUAUAUAAUUUGUAUAGGAUGGAAACAGCCCCCAUGAAGUUCACUGUGUGCUCUGAGAAGGCAGUGCCUGGAGUAUAACUCAUGAAAUAUUUAGGAUCAUUGAAACAGACCCAGUUACAUCCUUGAUUUUCUGUGGGAGCCCAGAAAUCUUGCAGGAGAAACUAUGAAAUAAGUCCACAGAUGAGGCUGAGAUACGAUAAUGCACAAACCUGUCUAAUAGACUGCAUAGCAUGGGGUUCAUUAUGCCCUGGGACAAAAUGCUUGGUUUGAAUCUGGUUCCAUCACCUACUAGCUAUGUGAUUUAGGGAAACUUACUUAGGUUGCCUCAGUUCCCUCAGUCAUGAAAGGGUGUUUGCUACGGGUAGGACCUACCUCAAGGUUGCCUCACAAACAAUAUUUGUAAAACGUUAAUAACAGCACCCAGCACAUGGUGAACAUGGAUGUUAAAGUAGACCCAAAGUUCCCUGAAGGAAACAGAACUGGCAGGAGAAACACAUGCCACUGAGAGAAAAUUUCAAGAAGAGGAAUCAUGCUGUGGCCCAAACUGAGCAGCAGGUAGAGGUAGAGGCUGUGUCCAGCCAUUUUCCUGACCUAGGCUACUAUCCCUUGUUCCUCUGGUUUGAGCAUUAUCAGAAAAAACCAGUUCUGAAAUAAAGGAAAGAGCUCUUAGGAGGUUCAUAGCAGUUCUGCUAUGAAGAAAACUCCUCUAAGUUGCUGGUAAACAAUAGUGGAAGGAGUUUUCCAGUUGUCUAGGAAAGAGAAAGGGCAUUGGAGGUGAGUGACCCAGGUAGGUAAGCAAUGGUGAGAACACGAUGUGUCCAUCAUCUGGGCACAGGAGGUUGGCAAAAGCAAGGCAGUAGCCCAAGGGUAGCGUGAAGAUUUGCAAAGGCUGGUCUGCACCUUCUGGACAGAGCAGCCAUGCUGAACAGCAGGAACAGAAGAGUACAUGAGAACCGGCAGAAGGAUGCUGAGCUGCAGCUGAAAUCUGGGAUAUUUCUGUAAAUGUACAAUACUUGCACUCACCAAUGGGUGAGGCCAGAGGAUCUAAAGGUGACAUUUUAUCUUUUAAAGUUCACUUCUCAACUGGGUGUGGUGCCUUACACCUGUAAUACCAGCACUUUGGAGGAAAACAGGAGGAUCACUGGAGGCCAGUAGUUCAAGACCAGCCUGGGCGACAUAGCAAGACCCCCAUCUCUACAAAAAAAAUUUAUUAAUACAAAUUUUAAAAAUAAUGUAAAGUUUAGUUCUCAUCAUUCCAUGGUGUACCAAGUACACUUUGACUUCUAGGUACUCUGUUGUCUGAGUGAGAACUAUUAGUACCAAGAAAAGCAGGACAGAUAGCAGAGUUCUGAGUCUAAUUACUAUCUAUUGGCUUUUCUGUGUCUCUAAGGCCUUUCAGGGGCACGUUGUAAUUCUAGUAAUAAACACCACAUUUGAACAGCAGUUUACAGUUGACAAAGUGCUUUCACACACAUCUCUUAAUUUUUGCAACCAGUAAAAUAUAGCUCAACAAUAAAUAGACUUCCUUAUGUGAAUGUACUGUAAUGUAUUAUCUAUUCAUAGACAAUAAGGUUUUCAAUUUUUUACUAUUAUAAACAAUACUGUGAAAAGCAUUGUGAUGCAUAAUUAUUUGCAUAUCUAUAAUUAUUUCUUCUGAAUAUUCCUAAAAGAAUUGCUGAUUCAAAGAAUAUGCCCAUUGUAAAAGUUUUUAAUAUGUAAAUUUAAAGUAUUCCAUAUGGAUUAUUAAAUUGUUUUGAUGUAUUUUGCUACUAUAAAUAAAAAAGUGAAAUUAACAUGCAA
rnacentral:lncRNA from 10 species